GCAGCGAUCAGUACCAUGGUAGAAAUGACAUAUUCACUCAUUAUUCACUCCAUGAGGCGACCUGCUCUAUGUAAAAAAAUGUAUGUCUUUUAUUAGGCCACUGAUAUGAAGAGUUAUAUAUACUUAUAAUAAGUUUUCUGGUGUUUUUAAUGCAAAACUUUUUUCAAUGAGAACAAAAAAAUGAAAGAGAUAAGGUAUACAGCUCAGAGAAAGUGCUGUGUAAUUGUUUUGGGGCCCUGUUGACAGGCUAAGGAGGUUAUGGGAAGGGUAAAAUCCUUUCUGCUUAGUUUAUGGCAUUGUGUUUGUUUACAAGUGUUACCAAGGGCCAUGCACCGUCCAGCUGACUCUGUCAUCUCUGCCAUGUCAGAAUCAGGGCGGCCCCCCAUGAUCUCCCUGUCAUUUUACCCCUUCUCGCCUGCUCAAACUCUGUGCAGAUAUAGCAACCCAAUGUGCCAGUCGUCUCAAGAGGGGACAAGCUUGUUAACUGUGGUCUAGCUGCAAAGAACUAAAUCUAAAGCUCUACAUUAAGUGUUGCAUUGUGAGCUUGGAUAAAUGCUCUGCUUCUGCUUCUGUGAGCUGGUGUCUGCUUUUUUCUCAUCGGUCACCUCAUUCUGCCAGAGGUGGCCUGUGCCAUUGUUGGUCUGGUGUGAAGGGGUCACCUACCAGCCCGCUUUACAAGAUGGGCAAUGAGAACAGCACUUCGGAGCUUCCGGAGGGCGCUCCAGAUAAAGUGGUGCUAUUUCCUCCAGAAGAAGCACAGUCUGACAUGGUAAAGGAGGCUGCAGUACACACUGACAAGGCGAGCACACUGAAGGAGAAGUCUGCCACUGCAGAGAACGGAUCUGUCCACACUGAUUCAGUCAAAGCUGAGCCACAGGUGUCUGCUGACGAGG